UUAAAAAAUAAAUUGCAUUAAAUGAACACAUGCAAAAAUAUUUUAGCCAAAAAAUUAAUAAAAAUAAUUUUAGUAUUGUCUAAUGUAAAUGUACAUAUAGGCCUAUAGGCUGUAAGUAGGCUAACUAUAAAGCUGAGUCAUGAACACAUUAGUAAAUUACAAAAACACCCUUGGUGAUCAAAUGUAAUAGCCUAGCCUAUAUAAAACGCAAUGAAUUGUGAUAUGCAUGUAUAGGCUAUGCCACGCCGCCAUGUCAGGAAUCACUUGAUGACGUACUGGCGUAAAAGAAUUGAACAGACUCUUUAACACGAACUGUUCGAAAGAACCGAUUCGCGAAAAUGAACCGGACUGAGCAUCACUAAUGCACAGUGGCAGGUGGGAGGUGAUGAUUUACUCGUCGCCUAUUGGCUGGAAUUGAGGCUUUGGUUUGUAAGAGGGUUCGGAUAGGUCAACUGGUUUAUGCCUUUGCGGAAUGUGUGUAGUAUGUUAGAAACUUCCAGACAGCCGUGUGUGUGAACUGAGAGAUGUUUCUAAGAAGUUGAGGACACUUACAUUUGUAUUGCCUGUGAAUAGGAACUUUUACCUCAGUUUCAGCAGCCUGGUCACAUGCCGUGUUACUUUUGGAAAAAGUUGGUCUGCGUUUGGGAGGCAGUACACAAAUGCCCCCAAAAUUUAACAAAUCACCCCCUCCCCAAUCAACCCUCCACACACAUGGUCAUACAUGCCUCCCAGGCAAAUGCGCUCUGAUUUUAGUUGUGCACCUCCUCCUCGACGCCACAUCGCCCUCUAAAAACAGACCCGGAGCAGUUCGCAAGCUGAGCUCCAGCAUAAACACAAGGUUACCUGCUGCUCAUACAAAUAGGACACAGUGUGCAUGACAAGCUGUUUUAACAUUUAUGCCUUAAAACUAACUAGUGUCUACUGUUGUUACCAGUACUAUUUUUAACUACUAAAAAGUGAUUCUUUUUCAAUUUUAUUAGGUAGACUACUAGUACAUAUUCAUCACAGUUACUAUUCAAUUCUAUGGAGAUCUGUUGUUCAAAUAUUAACAUUCAGUUCAGACUUGAUAUGUAUUUCAAUGCACUGAAAAAUAUGUUUUAGAAACAAUUCAGAAAUUGUUAUAACAUUUCACAAAUAAUUACAAA